rnacentral:rRNA from 1 species
GAUUCGUCACACUAUCAUUAACUGAAUCCAUAGGUUAAUGAGGCGAACCGGGGGAACUGAAACAUCUAAGUACCCCGAGGAAAAGAAAUCAACCGAGAUUCCCCCAGUAGCGGCGAGCGAACGGGGAGGAGCCCAGAGCCUGAAUCAGCAUGUGUGUUAGUGGAAGCGUCUGGAAAGGCGCGCGAUACAGGGUGACAGCCCCGUACACAAAAGCGCAUGUGCUGUGAGCUCGAUGAGUAGGGCGGGACACGUGGUAUCCUGUCUGAAUAUGGGGGGACCAUCCUCCAAGGCUAAAUACUCCUGACUGACCGAUAGUGAACCAGUACCGUGAGGGAAAGGCGAAAAGAACCCCGGCGAGGGGAGUGAAAAAGAACCUGAAACCGUGUACGUACAAGCAGUGGGAGCACCCUUCGGGGUGUGACUGCGUACCUUUUGUAUAAUGGGUCAG